CUGAGUAUAGGUAUUGUAUUAACUGGGUUAUAAUGUUACCUAUCACUAAUAUAGCUCAUAACUGAACUGAGGAACGAGGUUCAGUUGUAACGCUAUUUAUAAUAUUUCUAAAUAGUUGUUAUCAACGGGUAUCUAUGUAUAUAGACGGAUAGUUACCCGUGAUUAUCAAUAAACGGAUCUUAGCUAGUAUUCCAACAUAUGACAUAUAGUGAUACG